rnacentral:rRNA from 1 species
CAAUGCCAUGUGAACGAUGAAGGUCUUUUUGAUUGUAAAGUUCUUUUAUAGGGGAUAAUACUGAUAGUACUCUAUGAAUAAGUGACAGCAAACUAUGUGCCAGCAGCUGCGGUAAUACAUAGGUCGCAAGCAUUAUUCGGAUUUAUUGGGCGUAAAGCAAGCGCAGGCGGAUGCAUAAGUUCUGUGUAAAAAGCAGUUGCUUAACAAUUGUUGGCACCGAAUACUAUGCAUCUAGAAUGUGGUAGGAAGUUUUGGAAUUAAAUAUGGAGCGGUGGAAUGUGUAGAUAUAUUUAAGAACACCAGAGGCGAAGGCGAAAACUUAGGCCAUAAUUGACGCUUAGGCUUGAAAGUGUGGGGAGCAAAUGGGAUUAGAUACCCCAGUAGUCCACACCGUAAACGAUGGGUAUUAGAUAUCGGGUUCUGAAACUCGGUGUUGUAGCUUACGUGUUAAAUACCCCGCCUGGGUAGUACAUAUGCAAAUAUGAAACUCAAAGGAAUUGACGGGGACCUGAA